GACCAACAUGCACCUGCAGAAGUCCUGGGCCGUGUCCAGCAGCCUGCAGAAGGCACCACAGGGAGAAGGCCCUGGUGGCCUGGAUCGGUGAUAGACACAAGGCUCCGCAGAGGAGGCCUGGAAGUGUGGGUGAGGGAUAGCCCGAACAAAGGCAGGAAGGGUGAGGCAGAAGGUGCAGGUGCAGAGACCCAGCUGCCAGGCAGCUGCAGAGUGCAGGGCCUGUCCCCAGGUGCAGGGAGCAGUGGACAGCCCUCCAGCUUGAGAGCAUGCCUCUGGGUUCCCCUCAGGGGAAACCGCAUCCUGUCUACCCAGCCUGUCCACAGAUUCUCCCUCCCCAGCGGCCCUGGCUCUCCUCACCCCUGCUUGCUUGGCUGCUCAGCUGGGCUUCAGGCCACAUCUGGAAGUCCUUGGCUGACAGCAGAAGCCUCUGCCGUCUGCACCCAGCAGAGAAAGCAAACAGCUGGGAGGGGCUUGAAAGGGUCCCCCAGUCCUGGCCCCAGGAAGGAGCCAGCUGGGAGUAUGAGGUGGGAUAUGAAAUGUGAGAGCGAGGACAGGAAGCUGAGAGGACAAGCAGAUCCUGGGGUGGGGGUGGGGUGCCCGUAUCUCUGCAGUGGAGGAGGGGGCCUGCCCCAGCUCCAGCAGGGGCCAGCGGGACAGGCAGCUGUGACAGGGGAGCCUUGGGUCACCUUGGCCACAGCUCUGUGGAGGACACAGAGGCUCAGAGGGGUUGAAGGGCACCCCAGAGGGAAUGGCACAGUUCUCUCUGGAACUCUCCUUGGCCAUCAUGGUGACACUGAGGCUUUGGGGGAGGGAGCCACUGAGAGUUGGCUGCAGGAGUGGGGCCCCUGGGGGACCAGGGGUUGGGGGUAUACAUCUCAAACCCUUAGAGGGUGUGACCAUCAGGAGGCCACGUGUGAAAACGCCACCCUCCAGCGAGGUCUGAGCUCUUGCCUUCCCUUCUCAGCUCCUCCCUUAAACGCAAGCUCAGCUCGGCAGCCAGAACACUCAGAUUUCUAG
rnacentral:lncRNA from 1 species